CAAUAGCGUAUAUUAAAGUUGUUGCAGUUAAAAAGCUCGUAGUUGGAUUUCUGGUGGGAGCGAUCGGUCUGGCGCUUAGCGCGAGUACUUGCAUCGUCUCCGGCCAUCCUUGGGGAGAGUCUGUCAGGCAUUAGGUUGUCGGGCAGAGGAUCCUCAUCGUUUACUGUGAAAAAAUUAGAGUGUUCAAAGCAGGCUUAUGCCGUUGAAUAUAUUAGCAUGGAAUAAUAAGAUAGGACUUUGGUACUAUUUUGUUGGUUUGCGCACCAAAGUAAUGAUUAAUAGGGACAGUUGGGGGUAUUCGUAUUCCGUUGUCAGAGGUGAAAUUCUUGGAUUUACGGAAGACGAACUACUGCGAAAGCAUUUACCAAGGAUGUUUUCAUUAA
rnacentral:rRNA from 1 species